ACGUGCCGACUAUUGGUUUCUAGUACCCUAACCGGUUACCUCUACUUCCCUCCCACGAAGCACCACCACUCCUCUCUCCUCCCUCUCUCCCCCUCCCCUUUUCCCUCUCCACCACCGCUGUGUCGCGUUCGCCCACCGCUCUCUUCUCUGGGCGACGGUGCUUUCGCCUUCUUCCCCUUUUCCCUGUGAAUCUCUUUGGUUGGUUCGGCUACUAAAAGUAGGAUGGAGGAUAGUCAGUUAGUGGUCUCUCAAGCAUCCAACGUUGCAGAGUAUUCAUCCACAGGUCUUGUUCCUGCUGAGUACCCCAUGACCAAUUCAGGUGGUGAAGGCCUUGUUUCUUGUGAACCUACUGCAGCUACAGAUUAUGCUUUGUCAGGUUCUUCAAAUCCUCGCAAUGGGAAUAUGUACAACCAGGAGAACAAUUCUGUUGCACAGAAUGCUGGCAUGGCGUAUGAAUCUAAGACUGACGAUGGGACUGCUGUAGCUAGUGAAAUUGGCAUUGGUCAUGAAACCGUGGCAGAUAUUUCUUCUCAUACAACUGGUUAUGAUUCCAUGAAUGGAGGUGCUAGUGAAGGGGCCAGUUAUCAAUCUACAGGAGUUAUUGAGAAUGGAGGUUUUUCAAAUGAUGUGGGUAGUACUGUUCUUCAGCAACCAUAUGAAGAUGUGGUGUAUACUGCCGAGGAGGAAAGAUUAUGGAAUAUGGUAAGAGCAAAUUGUUUAGACUUCAAUUCUUGGACAGCCCUCAUUGAGGAAACCGAGAAGGCUGCAGAGAAUGACAUUAUAAAAAUUCGGAAAGUUUAUGAUGCAUUCUUGGCCGAGUUUCCGCUGUGUUAUGGCUACUGGAAAAAAUAUGCAGAUCAUGAGGGACGGCUGGACAGUGUUGACAAGGUUGUGGAGGUGUAUGAACGGGCUGUCCUAGCAGUGACUUAUUCUGUGGAAAUUUGGUUGCAGUACUGUCAAUUUGCAAUAUCAACAUAUGAAGAUCCAGAUGCUAUUCAAAGGCUGUUUGAACGUGGAUUGGCAUAUGUUGGAACGGAUUAUGGGUCACACAAUUUGUGGGAUGAGUACAUCAGAUAUGAAGAAUCACAACAAGCAUGGAGUCAUCUGGCCAUGAUUUAUACAAGAAUUCUGGAGCAUCCUAUACAACAACUGGAUCGUUAUUAUAAUUGUUUUAAGGAGUUGGCUGCUAGUCGAUCUUUAUCUGAAAUACAGACUCCUGAAGAAGCUGCUCUGGCAGCUGCCAAUGCCGAGACUGGUGGCCAAAGUCUUGAGGGCAAGGUUCAUCCUGAUGCUGUAGAGCAAUCUCCAAAACCCGUAAGUGCCGGUUUAACAGAAGCAGAGGAGUUGGAGAAGUAUAUUGCAAUUAGGGAAGAGAUGUAUAAGAAAGCUAAAGAAUACGAAUCUAAGAUCAUUGGUUUUGAAACAGCUAUUAGAAGGCCAUACUUCCAUGUCAGGCCUCUUGAUGAACCAGAGCUUGAAAACUGGCACAACUAUCUUGAUUUUAUUGAGAGAGGGGAUGACUUUAACAAGGUUCUUAAGUUGUAUGAAAGAUGUCUAAUUGCUUGUGCCAAUUAUCCGGAGUUCUGGAUCCGUUAUGUGUUAUGCAUGGAAGCAAGUGGAAGCAUGGAGCUUGCAAAUAAUGCUCUUGCUCGGGCUACUCAAGUGUUUGUGAAAAAACAACCAGAAAUUCACCUUUUUGCUGCUAGAUUUAAGGAACUAAGUGGAGAUGUUUUGGGGGCUCGUGUAGAAUAUCAGCUCCUGUAUUCUGAAAUUUCACCUGGUCUGUUGGAAGCCAUUGUUAAACAUGCAAACAUGGAAAAUCGACUGGGAGACAAACAUGCUGCGUUCUCUCUAUAUGAGAAGGCUAUCACUGCUGAACAGGAAAAGGAGCAGUCUCUAAUAUUGCCAAUGUUGCUUGCUCAGUAUUCACGUUUUGUACAUCUGGUUGCUGGUAAUGUAGAAAAGGCUAGGGAAAUUUUAGCUGGAUCUCUUGAGCAUAUUCAACUUUCAAAACCUCUUCUGGAGGCUGUCAUCCAUCUUGAGUCAAUCCAGCCAUCUGCAAAGCAUGUUGAUUAUUUGGAUUCACUGGUGGAGAAGUUCAUCAUGCCCAAUCCUGAUAAUUCUAACAUGGCUAGCACCACUGACAGAGAAGAGAUAUCUAGCAUUUUUUUGGAGUUUUUGGAUCUCUUUGGAGAUGCACAGUCAAUAAAAAGGGCUGAGAAUAGGCACACAGUGCUCUUUCUUCGUCAGAAAAGCAUGUUGAUUUCAAAAAAACGACAUGCUGAAGAUUUUCUUACCUCCGACAAGGCUAAAAUAUCAAAGACUUACCCAGAGCCAGGUCAGUCUAUUAUGGGAGCAUACCCAAAUGCACAGAGCCAGUGGUCUGCUGGUUAUGGACAAAAAGCGCCAGCUUGGCCUCAGACUUCCCAAUCACAAGGGCAGCAGUGGAAUCCAGGAUAUGCGCCACAGGCUGGGUAUACUGCAUAUGGAGGUUAUGCUAAUUAUGGCCAACCACAGAUGCCAACAUCAGCUCAGGGUGCUUCAUAUGGUGCAUAUCCUCCCACAUAUCCGGUCCAGGGUUAUCCACAACAAACGUAUGCCCAACCUGCACCAGCAGCAGCAGCGGCAGCAACGGUGUUUCCGCAGCAACCAGCACCUGCUCAACCAUAUUACGGCAGUUAUUAUUGAGUUGGUUUGUGUUUUCCAAAACAGCAGAUGUUGUUUGGUAUAGGUGUGCCUCUUUGCUUCUUUCUCUUUGUCAUCAUUAUCAUACCUUUUUCUUGAUAAUUAUUCAGGUUUGUUUAUUAUGAAGAAAACGAACAGUAAUCGGAUAAAAGUUUUUAAAUUUUUAUGCACGAAGGGAAAGCAGGGUGAGAAGGAUCUCUUUUCCAAGUCUCAAAACAUGAUUACCCAAUUUGGUGGCAGCCUGCCUUGAUCAUGCAGAAGGCGAUAAUGCUCAUUGUUCAGGGUGUUAGCCGGUACCACUUCAUGAGGACAUCAACAAUGUAUGAUCUGGAUUUCUACUGCUUUAUUUUUUUCUCUUUAAUCUGCUGAACUGGAUGGCCAUUUGCAGAGACAGGGCUCCUGGUUGAACACGUACAACCUGUUAAUUGUAGGAACCAACUCUAGUGGUAUCAUAUGAGCGCUCCAGCAAAAAUGAGCCCUCGUUUUUUAAUUGUUUAGGCAGUCAUGUAAACAUUAUCAUCAUAUUAAUGGUUGCCAGGCAAAUGAAAUUUUGUGCAGGAUAUUAUUAUAUAAACAUUGACCUAAACUUCAUUG